rnacentral:rRNA from 1 species
CCUACGGGGGGCAGCAGUCGAGAAUCAUUCACAAUGGGGGAAACCCUGAUGGUGCGACGCCGCGUGGGGGAAUGAAGGUCUUCGGAUUGUAAACCCCUGUCAUGUGGGAGCAAAUUAAAAAGAUAGUACCACAAGAGGAAGAGACGGCUAACUCUGUGCCAGCAGCCGCGGUAAUACAGAGGUCUCAAGCGUUGUUCGGAAUCACUGGGCGUAAAGCGUGCGUAGGCUGUUUCGUAAGUCGUGUGUGAAAGGCGCGGGCUCAACCCGCGGACGGCACAUGAUACUGCGAGACUAGAGUAAUGGAGGGGGAACCGGAAUUCUCGGUGUAGCAGUGAAAUGCGUAGAUAUCGAGAGGAACACUCGUGGCGAAGGCGGGUUCCUAGACAUUAACUGACGCUGAGGCACGAAGGCCAGGGGAGCGAAAGGGAUUAGAUACCCGGGUAGUC